UGACACAGGGUCUCAUGCAGCCCAAGCUGGUCUUCAGUCCUCUUUGUAGUCAAGGCUGGCCUUGAGCUCUGGAUCCUCUUGCUUCCAUCUCCUUGAGGGCUGCAUUUUCAGGCCUGUUCCACCACAUCAGGCCUUCAAAAUCUCAGCCAGUCUCUCUCAGCUACCCAGCCCUGGAACAAGACGCCAGCCUAUCUGAGCCUCGGAAGUACCUCUGAAGGAUGUCCUGACAGCAUGGAGCCCUCAGUGAACCACCUCUCUGAUCAGGGAGGUAUUACACCCAUAAUACGGAGGGAGAGGCAAAUCGAGGUCCAGAGGGGCAAAGUGAUAGGCCCUUGAUAACACGGCAUUAAGUGGCAGAGCUGGGAUUUGUGUUCUCGUUUUCUCCACUCACCUUGCGGCACUUCACCUGUGUUUUCUGCAUCUUCUGGAUAUGCAAGAGGUUCUCUGAGAUCUCAUCCUCCUGGGCUUCUGUUGGGGGAGAGUGCUCAGCGAACCUGGGGCUCAGCGGAGCCCCACCCCUUCCCGGCUGCGGGCCUCCAGGCACUCACGGAGCUUCUGAUAGAUGAAAGUCACCUCCUCCCGCACCAGCUCCAGUUCCUCCCACAGGAACUUCUUGCUAAGGGAAGAGAGGAGCCUAGACCCACAUUCCUAGCCCAUUCCCUAGGCCUCUAUGGCCUUCCCCUGUCCCCACCCCCACUACCUGACCCUCCGCCUACAGCCUAGGAAUCAGUCCUCAGCCCGAGGCUCCACCCAGUCCCAGACUCCGCCCACAGCCCCCGACUCCAUCCUCUCACCUUCCAGUCUACUUUCUUCCUACCAGGAUCUUCCUAGCCGUGUCAACUCCUCGUGAUUUUCACUCUCCAGCCUCUCCGCCCCGCUCAGUCUUCUGAGCCCCUGCCUCCUUCCCAGCCCACCUUCAGCUUGCAGUUUCCCUAAAGCUUCUAGCCACUCGUCCCCUCUGAGCGUCCUGCUCCUAAUGUUGUGUCCCCCAAAUCUUCCACUCCCAGCUCCGUUAAAUUCCUUCAGUGGUGGCCCGCUUGCUUGCAACCUCCACACUGCCCUCCUGCCCACACCCACCUGUCCC